rnacentral:rRNA from 1 species
GACGAACGCUGGCGGCGUGCUUAACACAUGCAAGUCGAACGGAAAGGCCCUGCUUUUGUGGGGUGCUCGAGUGGCGAACGGGUGAGUAACACGUGAGUAACCUGCCCUUGACUUUGGGAUAACUUCAGGAAACUGGGGCUAAUACCGGAUAGGAGCUCCUGCUGCAUGGUGGGGGUUGGAAAGUCUCGGCGGUUGGGGAUGGACUCGCGGCUUAUCAGCUUGUUGGUGGGGUAGUGGCUUACCAAGGCUUUGACGGGUAGCCGGCCUGAGAGGGUGACCGGCCACAUUGGGACUAAGGUACGGCCCAGACUCCUACGGGAGGCAGCAGUGGGGAAUAUUGCACAGUGGGCGGAAGCCUGAUGCAGCAACGCCGCGUGCGGGAUGACGGCCUUCGGGUUGUAAACCGCUGUCGCCUGUGACGAAGCGUGAGUGACGGUAAUGGGUAAAGAAGCACCGGCUAACUACGUG